AAAUCAAAUGAUGAUCAUUCUCAUUUUAUAAUUCUCAUGACGGUCAUCUGAGAUAGCUAUGUGCUGAUAAAACUUGAGAUCUCUGAUGGUU